rnacentral:misc_RNA from 1 species
UCAAAACAGCGGACUUCGGUCCUUGCUGCACCCUUGUCUUUUGCGCACCGUAUUGUUUCCUCGGCGGGCUUGCCUGCCGGUUGGACAUUAUCAAACCUUUUUGUAGUUGCAAUCAGCGUCAGAAAAAUAACAAUAGUUA